rnacentral:rRNA from 1 species
GGUAGCAUAAUCAAUUGUCUUUUAAUUGAAGGAUAGAAUGAAAGAAUUAAUGAAAUAUAUACUGUCUCAAUUAUAAUUAAUUAAUUUAAAUUUUUAGUUAAAAUGCUAAAUUUUAAUUAUGGGACGAUAAGACCCUAUAGAAUUUUAUAUUAAUUUUAUAAUAUAAAUUAGUUAUUUAAUUAAUAUUAUAAAAUUAAUAUUUAAUUGGGAGGAUUUAUAAAUUUAAUAAACUUUAUAUUAAUUUAAAACUUUGAUUUAAGAAAAUAUAAUUUGAUAUAAUAAUAAUAAUAAUAAAAAUAAAUUACCUUAGGGAUAACAGCGUAAUAUCUUUUUAGAGUUCAAAUUAAUAAAGAUGUUUGCGACCUCGAUGUUGAAUUAAGAUAAAUUUUAGGUGUAGAAAUUUAAAAAUUAAGUCUGUUCGACUUUUAAAAUCUUACAUGAUUUGAGUUC